UACAGAGGUCCCAAGCGUUGUUCGGAUUCAUUGGGCGUAAAGGGUGCGUAGGCGGCGCGGUAAGUCGGGUGUGAAAUCUCGGAGCUUAACUCCGAAACUGCAUUCGAUACUGCCGUGCUUGAGGACUGGAGAGGAGACUGGAAUUUACGGUGUAGCGGUGAAAUGCGUAGAUAUCGUAAGGAAGACCAGUGGCGAAGGCGGGUCUCGUGGACAGUUCCUGACGCUGAGGCACGAAGGCCAGGGGAGCAAACGGG
rnacentral:rRNA from 1 species